AUUGAACGCUGGCGGCAGGCCUAACACAUGCAAGUCGAGCGGAUGAAGGGAGCUUGCUCCUGGAUUCAGCGUCGGACGGGUGAGUAAUGCCUAGGAAUCUGCCUGGUAGUGGGGGAUAACGUCCGGAAACGGGCGCUAAUACCGCAUACGUCCUGAGGGAGAAAGUGGGUGAUCUUCGGACCUCACGCUAUCAGCUGAGCCUAGGUCGGAUUAGCUAGUUGGUGGGGUAAAGGCCUACCAAGGCGACGCUCCGUAACUGGUCUGAGAGGAUGAUCAGUCAAACAGGAAAUGGAACAAAGAAAGAACAACUAAGAGAGGCAGCAGCGGGGAAUAUUGGACAGAAGGCGAGAGCCUGAUCCAGGCAUGCCGCGUAGGUGAAGAAGAUCUUCGGAUUCAGAACCCCUUUAGGUCGGGGGGUAGAGCUGUAAGUUAAUACCUUGCUCUUUUGACGUUACCAACAGAAGAAGCACCGGCUAACUACGUG
rnacentral:rRNA from 1 species